GGAAACUCUUCAUUUCCUGCUCUGUUGAUCGUUGGACUCAUCUGUGGACUUUUACUGAUUCUUCUUCUGCUGUUGUGUCGCUUCAUACAGUCAAAGGAUUCAUGCUUUGCCAGCACAAAUCAAACCAUAAACCACACGAUCAACCAGGAUGAAGCUCGAGACAGCCAACAUGCUUCUCCUCACCAAGGUGAUGCUUGUCUCUAUGAAUCAGUCAAAGACCAUGAUGACACAGAUAAUGGUAAAGUAUAAACAGCAGUUUAUAAGUAUGCAAACUCUUUGAUUAUUCUCAUUUAUGUGUAAAUGUUUGAACUCUAUUUUAGUUGAAUCUGGGGAUGUCACAUAUUCUUUGAUUGAGUUUAAAAACAUCACUCAAAAAGAUGACAGCCUGUUGUAUGCAGAGGUCUCCCACAAGAGAGCUAAAGCCAAGAGAAACAAGGAAAAAUCAGCCUCUGCAGCAGCUGAAGAAGUCACUUAUUCUGAAGUCAAGUCACAACCAGCUCUUGAUUACAGCCUGUUGUAUGCAGAGGUCUCCCACAACAGAGCUAAAGUCAAGAUACUUUAAGGGAAAUCAGCCCCUGCAGCAGCUGAUGAAGCAGUUUAUUCUGAAGUCAAAUCAAAACGAGUUGUUAGUAAUACAGAAAUAAAAUAGCUUACAUACUGUGAUUUGUUGUUGUAAUGAUUAACUCAGAGUGAACUGAGUCCCAAAUCACCUUUAAACACUGAAUAAUUCUGCAUUGAUUUGAAUUUAACAGCACUGGAAGAAAGUAGAGGAACAACAAAAGAAGAUUACGAUUAACUUUUUUAUGAAAAGUUUUCUUUCAUUUUAAAAAAGCUGCAGCAGCAAGUGAUAGUGUGGCGUUAGGAUCAGGAUCUUUCCACUUUCACAUACGCAUUUAUUGAACUGCAUAUAUUGUUACAUAUAUAUUUACAGAUGUGUCCUUUGUCUUUGCAAAUCAUUAUUUUUGUUCCUCUGGAUGGAUUAAGAACCAUUACAUAUAUUUCUAAAAACUUGUGUUUUUAAAUAGUUUUGUACAUUAAUAAACAUUUUUUAUUUGUUUGUUUCAUAUUUGGUAAGCUGCUGUCAAACUUUUGAUUCUGUUAUCUCAUUUUGUGUGUCAUUUAAACAAUAUAUUCUUUUUUAUAUAAACGUUA
ensembl:lncRNA